rnacentral:rRNA from 1 species
GGGCCCGCACAAGCAGCGGAGCGUGUGGUUAAUUCGAUGCUACACGUAAGAACCUUACCAGGGUUUGACAUGCAAGUGGUAGGAAGCCGAAAGGUGACCGACCUUCGGGGAGCUUGCACAGGUGCUGCAUGGCUGUCGUCAGCUCGUGUCGUGAGAUGUUCGGUUAAGUCCGCUAACGAGCGCAACCCUCGCUGUGUGUUAUAUGUGUCACACGGGACUGCCGGUCUUAAGCCGGAGGAAGGUGGGGAUGACGUCAAGUCAGCAUGGCCUUUAUAUCCUGGGCUACACACACGCCUACAAUGGCCAACACAAUAGGUUGCUAAGCCGCGAGGUGGCGCCAAUCCAUAAAGUUGGUCUCAGUUCAGAUUGUAGGCUGCAACCCGCCUGCAUGAAGAUGGAGUUGCUAGUAACCGCAGGUCAGCUAUACUGCGGUGAAUACGUUCCCGGGGCUU